rnacentral:rRNA from 1 species
ACAGCAGUAGCCGCGGGAAUACGGAGGAUCCAAGCGUUAUCCGGAAUCAUUGGGUUUAAAGGGUCCGUAGGCGGUCUUGUAAGUCAGUGGUGAAAGCCCAUCGCUCAACGGUGGAACGGCCAUUGAUACUGCAGGACUUGAAUUAUUGGGAAGUAACUAGAAUAUGUAGUGUAGCGGUGAAAUGCUUAGAGAUUACAUGGAAUACCAAUUGCGAAGGCAGGUUACUACCAAUUGAUUGACGCUGAUGGACGAAAGCGUGGGUAGCGAACAGGAUUAGAUACCCGAGUAGUCCCUGUCUCUUAUAA